UAAAGGAGAACAAUGAGGGAGAGAGGAAGACCAAUCGGGAGAAGAGAAAGAGAAAGUGAACCAAUGGGAAAGCAGAGAAAGGAGGGAGAUAGGGAAACAACAAAAUCGGACCCCGACUCGUUUGCCAUCACGACCCGGUUCCUGGCGCCAUUUUUUGGCGCAAUUUCAUGAGUUUUCCGACAAAUUAAGUUGAUCCACAACUGCCAAUCAUCAAAUAGUCACUUCCUCUCCACUUUCCACCCAAAUUUGAGGGUUUUUGACCUCAGUUUUACUAAUAAGAGCACCGGUGUGCUCGGGAGGGUUCCACGGCUGAGAUCCGCCGAUCGUGAAAGCCACGUCGACUACCACCACCAUUAAAUCACUCACCUUGAACCCCGGAACAAAGCCCAAACAAGUUUGGGGGCGUCGGGUUCAAUUUGAGGACGAAUUGAAGAGCACCCAAUUUAAGGGUUUCCGGCGGGUUCGAGUGAAAUUGGGGUUUUUUUCGGCCAAAUUAGCCUUAGUCACAGGCACGUUAGCGGGAAAUGAUUACAUGCUCGAUAGUUCGAGCGGCUUUUGGGCAAUGGAAAAACUAGAGUUAGGGUCAAGACACAUGAUCUCGUCGUCAGGGCACUUCGGCUUAGUUAUCCUCGAGUCUUCUCAGUGUAGGUGAAGGAAUGGAGCAGCCAUGGACCAUGUAGUGAAGUUGCUAAAGCUGGGAAGAGAGCCAUCAAAUUUCACCUGUAUUACUUUGUGAUGGGUUUCACCUUUCCCAUGCCACAUCUUUUUUAGGAGGUGAACUGCUCCAUGAAAUGUGCUCUUGCUCAAUGCUCUUCCAACGUGAUGCACAUGAUGGUGGUGUUUUUGAACUUGAGCAAAUUUUUGGUCUUGGGGCUAACGGUGCGACAAUGUGUGAUGCUUCAACAAGCCAACAAGGGUUUCAAUAUAUGCGUAAUUUAAAUCCCGUAUCCAUGCCUAUUUUAUCAUCGUUUUGUAAAAUUCUUUGUAUGCUCACAAAUUCUAACAAGGCUUAUUUUUUGGUAUAUCCAAUGGAAUUCGAACUUAAUCCCACUUUCUCUCUUGAAACAAAAAUAUCACCACUUUACAUGAUGUAACUCAAAUUUUGCUUCACUUUGGUCGGAUUUGUCUAUUCUGUCAAAAUAUGUUGAUGUGAAAGGGUAAUUUAGUAAUUUCACCCUAGAUGGUUUAUUUUUGUUGCCAUGUCACCAUAGAGAAUGGCACUCUAAGUGCCACCUAGGAUGAAAUUACUAAAUUACCCUUUCACGUUAGCAUAUUUGACGGAAUGGAUGGAAUACGAUCAAAGUGAAGGCAAAAAUUGAGUUUCAGAGUGUAAAAUGAGAUUAAGUACAAGUUGGGAGAGAGGGAUACCAAAAAAUAAGCCUUUUAACAAUAAUAUGCCCUCCUGGG